CUUGGAUAUUUUGUGGUGGUUUAUUUCUGUCUUAUCAAAUGAGGAGAGACAAACCUUUCAAACAAGUCAGAGUUAUACUCAAACUACAUCUUUAAUAAUAAGGCCCUACGUUUCUCUGUCCCUCUCUGUGUAAACCUGGCCCCUACGUCUCUCUGUCCCACUCUGUGUAAACCUGGCCCCUACGUCUCUCUGUCCCUCUCUGUGUAAACCUGGCCCCUACGUCUCUCUGUCCCACUCUGUGUAAACCUGGCCCCUACGUCUCUCUGUCCCUCUCUGUGUAAACCUGGCCCUUCAUCUCUCUGUCCCUCUCUGUGUAAACCCGGCCCCUACGUCUCUCUGUCUCUCUCUGUGUAAACCUGGCCCCUACGUCUCUCUGUCCCUCUCUGUGUAAACCUGGCCCCUACGUCUCUCUGUCCCUCUCUGUGUAAACCUGGCCCUACAUCUCUGUCCCUCUCUGUGUAGGUGUGAAGCCCUCUGAGCCAGGGAAGAGGUCCAGGUGGGAUGUGUCUGGCCAGGCUGGGGACGAGGACAGGAAGGAGAAGGAUCCAAUCAGUGAGUUCCUCAGUGUGGCUCGUAUUGAAGCCUCUGGGUCAGGACCGGACACCUCUACUACUGAUGGCCCUACAACGGAUCCUACUGUAGAGGUACUGGUACCAUCCUACUACACUACAUACAUCACUGAUCCUACUGUAGAGGUACUGGUACCAUCCUACUACACUACAUACAUCACUGAUCCUACUGUAGAGGUACUGGGACCAUCCUACUACACUACAUACACCACUGAUCCUACUGUAGAGGUACUGGUACCAUCCUACUACAUACAUCACUGAUCCUACUGUAGAGGUACUGGUACCAUCCUACUACACUACAGACAUCGCUGAUCCUACUGUAGAGGUACUGGUACCAUCCUACUACACUACAUACACCACUGAUCCUACUGUAGAGGUACUGGUACCAUCCCACUACAUACACCACUGAUCCUACUGUAGAGGUACUGGUACCAUCCUACUACACUACAUACAUCACUGAUCCUACUGUAGAGGUACUGGUACCAUCCUACUACACUACAUACAUCACUGAUCCUACUGUAGAGGUACUGGUACCAUCCUACUACAUACAUCACUGAUCCUACUACACUACAUCACUGAUCCUACUGAGGUUUGACAGAUGUAACAGUCCACUGUAAUACGAAGAGGUUUGACAGAUGUAACAGUCCACUGUAAUACGGAGAGGUUUGACAGAUGUAACAGUCCACUGUAAUACUGAGAGGUUUGACAGAUGUAACAGUCCACUGUAAUACUGAGAGGUUUGACAGAUGUAACAGUCCACUGUAAUACUGACAGGUUUGACAGAUGUAACAGUCCACUGUAAUACUGAGGUUUGACAGACGUAACAGUACACUGUAAUACUGAGAGGUUUGACAGAUGUAACAGUCCACUGUAAUACUGAGAGGUUUGACAGAUGUAACAGUCCACUGUAAUACUGAGAGGUUUGACAGAUGUAACAGUCCACUGUAAUACUGAGAGGUUUGACAGAUGUAACAG
rnacentral:lncRNA from 1 species